rnacentral:rRNA from 1 species
UGGGGAAUUUUGGACAAUGGGCGAAAGCCUGAUCCAGCAAUGCCGCGUGUGUGAAGAAGGCCUUCGGGUUGUAAAGCACUUUUGUCCGGAAAGAAAUCCUUGGCUCUAAUACAGUCGGGGGAUGACGGUACCGGAAGAAUAAGCACCGGCUAACUACGUGCCAGCAGCCGCGGUAAUACGUAGGGUGCAAGCGUUAAUCGGAAUUACUGGGCGUAAAGCGUGCGCAGGCGGUUUGCUAAGACCGAUGUGAAAUCCCCGGGCUCAACCUGGGAACUGCAUUGGUGACUGGCAGGCUAGAGUAUGGCAGAGGGGGGUAGAAUUCCACGUGUAGCAGUGAAAUGCGUAGAGAUGUGGAGGAAUACCGAUGGCGAAGGCAGCCCCCUGGGCCAAUACUGACGCUCAUGCACGAAAGCGUGGGGAGCAAACAGGAUUAGAUACCCUGGUAGUCCACGCCCUAAAACGAUGUCAACUAGUUGUUGGGGAUUCAUUUCCUUAGUAACGUAGCUAACGCGUGAAGUUGACCGCCUGGGGAGUACGGUCGUAAGAUUAAAACUUAAAGGAAUUGACGGGGUCAUAGCUGUUUCCU